rnacentral:rRNA from 1 species
AUACGGAGGAUCCGAGCGUUAUCCGGAUUUAUUGGGUUUAAAGGGUGCGUAGGUGGUUUGAUAAGUCAGCGGUGAAAGUUUGCAGCUUAACUGUAAAAAUGCCGUUGAAACUGUCGGACUUGAGUGUAAAUGAGGUAGGCGGAAUGCGUGGUGUAGCGGUGAAAUGCAUAGAUACCACGCAGAACUCCGACUUGCGAAGGCAGCUUACUAACGCUACAACUGACACUGAAGCACGAAAGCGUGGGGAUC